rnacentral:rRNA from 1 species
GAUGAACGCUGGCGGCGUGCCUAAUACAUGCAAGUCGAGCGAACAGACGAGGAGCUUGCUCCUCUGACGUUAGCGGCGGACGGGUGAGUAACACGUGGAUAACCUACCUAUAAGACUGGGAUAACUUCGGGAAACCGGAGCUAAUACCGGAUAAUAUAUUGAACCGCAUGGUUCAAUAGUGAAAGACGGUUUUGCUGUCACUUAUAGAUGGAUCCGCGCCGCAUUAGCUAGUUGGUAAGGUAACGGCUUACCAAGGCAACGAUGCGUAGCCGACCUGAGAGGGGGAUCGGCCACAAUGGAACUGAGAAACGGUCCAGACUCCUACGGGAGGCAGCAGUAGGGAAUCUUCCGCAAUGGGCGAAAGCCUGACGGGGCAACGCCGCGUGAGUGAUGAAGGUCUUCGGAUCGUAAAACUCUGUUAUUAGGGAAGAACAAAUGCGUAAGUAACUAUGCACGUCUUGAAGGUACCUAAUCAGAAAGCCACGGCUAACUACGUG